UACGAAGGGGGCGAGCGUUGUUCGGAAUUACUGGGCGUAAAGGGCGCGCAGGCGGCUCUGAAAGUCAGAUGUGAAAGCCCCGGGCUUAACCUGGGAAUUGCAUUUGAUACUCUGGAGCUUGAGUGUGGGAGAGGAGAGUGGAAUUCCCAGUGUAGAGGUGAAAUUCGUAGAUAUUGGGAAGAACACCGGUGGCGAAGGCGGCUCUCUGGACCACAACUGACGCUGAGGCGCGAAAGCGUGGGGAGCGAACAGG
rnacentral:rRNA from 1 species